GAACGAGGGAUCAGGAGCUUGCUCCUUUGACGUUAGCGGCGGACGGGUGAGUAACACGUGGGUAACCUACCUAUAAGACUGGAAUAACUCCGGGAAACCGGGGCUAAUGCCGGAUAACAUUUAGAACCGCAUGGUUCUAAAGUGAAAGAUGGUUUUGCUAUCACUUAUAGAUGGACCCGCGCCGUAUUAGCUAGUUGGUAAGGUAACGGCUUACCAAGGCAACGAUACGUAGCCGACCUGAGAGGGUGAUCGGCCACACUGGAACUGAGACACGGUCCAGACUCCUACGGGAGGCAGCAGUAGGGAAUCUUCCGCAAUGGGCGAAAGCCUGACGGAGCAACGCCGCGUGAGUGAUGAAGGUCUUCGGAUCGUAAAACUCUGUUAUUAGGGAAGAACAAAUGUGUAAGUAACUAUGCACGUCUUGACGGUACCUAAUCAGAAAGCCACGGCUAACUACGUGCCAGCAGCCGCGGUAAUACGUAGGUGGCAAGCGUUAUCCGGAAUUAUUGGGCGUAAAGCGCGCGUAGGCGGUUUCUUAAGUCUGAUGUGAAAGCCCACGGCUCAACCGUGGAGGGUCAUUGGAAACUGGGAAACUUGAGUGCAGAAGAGGAAAGUGGAAUUCCAUGUGUAGCGGUGAAAUGCGCAGAUAUCAUGAGG
rnacentral:rRNA from 1 species